rnacentral:ncRNA from 2 species
AAUUGAAUAUGGGAAACAGGUGCUUCGGGUAACGUCGGAGCUUAAUAGGGAAGCCGGUUGGAAAUCCGGCGCGGUCCCGCCACUGUGACAGUUGAGGUAUUGCGAGAGAGCCACUGGUUUGUAAGGAAUCGGGAAGGCUGCAAUGGCCAAUGAAGCUGAAGCCAGGAGACCUGCCUGUUUUGACAACACUGU